UACGUAGGGUGCGAGCGUUGUCCGGAAUUAUUGGGCGUAAAGAGCUUGUAGGCGGUCUGUCGCGUCUGCUGUGAAAAUCCGGGGCUCAACCCCGGACUUGCAGUGGGUACGGGCAGACUAGAGUGUGGUAGGGGAGACUGGAAUUCCUGGUGUAGCGGUGAAAUGCGCAGAUAUCAGGAGGAACACCGGUGGCGAAGGCGGAUCUCUGGGCCAUUACUGACGCUGGAGGAGCGAAAGCGUGGGGAGCGAACAGG
rnacentral:rRNA from 1 species